rnacentral:rRNA from 1 species
UGGGGAAUUUUGGACAAUGGGGGAAACCCUGAUCCAGCCAUCCCGCGUGUGCGAUGAAGGCCUUCGGGUUGUAAAGCACUUUUGGCAGGAAAGAAACGUCAUGGGUUAAUACCCCGUGAAACUGACGGUACCUGCAGAAUAAGCACCGGCUAACUACGUGCCAGCAGCCGCGGUAAUACGUAGGGUGCAAGCGUUAAUCGGAAUUACUGGGCGUAAAGCGUGCGCAGGCGGUUCGGAAAGAAAGAUGUGAAAUCCCAGAGCUCAACUUUGGAACUGCAUUUUUAACUACCGGGCUAGAGUGUGUCAGAGGGAGGUGGAAUUCCGCGUGUAGCAGUGAAAUGCGUAGAUAUGCGAAGGAACACCGAUGGCGAAGGCAGCAUCCUGGGAUAACACUGACACACAUGCACGAAAGCGUGGGGAGCAAACAGG